GACGAACGCUGGCGGCGUGCCUAAUACAUGCAAGUCGAGCGAGCGGCGGACGGGUGAGUAACACGUAAGGAACCUACCGAUAAGCGGGGGACAACAUCCGGAAACGGGUGCUAAUACCGCAUACUUAUCGAGGGUCUUGCGGUGCAUUAGCUAGUUGGUGGGGUAACGGCCUACCAAGGCUAGGAUGCAUAGCCGACCGGAGAGGGUAAUCAGCCACAUUGGGACUGAGACACGGCCCAAACUCCUACGGUAGGCAGCAGUAGGGAAUCUUCCACAAUGGGCGCAAGCCUGACGGAGCAACGCCGCGUGAGUGAAGAAGGUUUUCGGAUCGUAAAGCACUGUUGUAUGAGAAGCGGUAUCUUACCAGAAAGCCACGGCUAACUACGUGCCAGCAGCCGCGGUAAUAC
rnacentral:rRNA from 1 species